UUAAGCUAUAAAGAGCGCAGGGUGGAUGCCUUGGCACUAAGAGCCGAUGAAAGACGUGAUAAGCUGCGAAAAGCUUCGGGGAGGAGCAAAUAUCCUUUGAUCCGGAGAUUUCUGAAUGGGGAAACCUACUUGAGCAAACCUCAAGUAUCCUUAAGCCAAUACAUAACUUAAGGAAGGGAACCCGGUGAACUGAAACAUCUAAGUAGCCGGAGGAAGAGAAAACAACAUGUGAUUCUGUGAGUAGCGGCGAGCGAAAACGGAAGAGCCCAAACCAGCGUGCGUGCAUGCUGGGGUUCGGACCGCGGAAUUGAUUCAACAAGUUUAGCAGAACGGUUUUGGGAAAGCCGGCCAGAGAGGGUGAAAGCCCCGUAAGCGAAAGACGAGUUGACAUGGCGGGAUCCAGAGUACCACGAGACACGUGGAACCUUGUGGGAAGAUGCGGGGACCACCCCGUAAGGCUAAAUACUACUUAGUGACCGAUAGCGCAUAGUACUGUGAAGGAAAGGUGAAAAGGACCCCGGGAGGGGAGUGAAAAAGAACCUGAAACCAUAUGUUUACAAGCUGUGGAAGAGCUUUAUAUGCUCAACCGCGUACUUUUUGUAGAACGGUCCGGCGAGUUACGCUGGCUGGCGAGGUUAAGGACUGAAGGUCCGGAGCCGAAGGGAAACCAAGUCUGAAUAGGGCGCAUAGUCAGUCGGAGUAGACCCGAAACCGGGUGAUCUAUCCAUGUCCAGGUUGAAGUUGCCGUAAAAGGCAAUGGAGGACCGAACCCACAUCCGUUGAAAAGGGUGGGGAUGAGGUGUGGAUAGGGGAGAAAUUCCAAUCGAACCCGGAGAUAGCUGGUUCUCCUCGAAAUAGCUUUAGGGCUAGCCUCGAUUUAGUCUUAUGGAGGUAGAGCACUGAAUUUCCGCGGGGGCGUCAAAGCUUACCAAAGAAUAUCAAACUCCGAAUGCCAUGUAGAUGAUGAUCGGGAGUCAGACUGCACGAGAUAAGUUGGGCAGUCAAAAGGGAAAGAGCCCAGACCACCGGCUAAGGUCCCAAAGUGCGUGUUAAGUGGAAAAGGAUGUGGGAAUUCGAAGACAACUAGGAUGUUGGCUCAGAAGCAGCCAUACAUUCAAAGAGUGCGUAACAGCUCACUAGUCGAGAGUUCCUGCGCCGAAAAUGUCCGGGGCUGAAACACGACACCGAAGCCGUGGACUCGCAAUGCGAGUGGUAGAGGAGCAUUCUUAAAACCGACGAAGCUGUACCGUAAGGAGCAGUGGAGGGAUAAGAAGAGAGAAUGCCGGAAUGAGUAGCGAGAGAAAGGUGGGAAUCCUUUCGGCCGAAUAUCUAAGGUUUCCAGAGUAAAGCUGAUCUGCUCUGGGUAAGUCGGGGCCUAAGCACAGGUCGCAAGACGUAAGCGAUGGAUAACAGGUUUAGAUUCCUGUACCACGCAUUAUCAGAACUGUAGGGACGCAUGUGGAAAGCACGAGCCGGGAAUGGAAAUACCGGUACAAGCGGGGUAGGUGUACAAUAGGCAAAUCCGUUGUAUAAUCCGAAGACGUGAUGUGGAGCGAAAUAAAGUAGCGAAGCGUGUGAGCCAUGUGCCGAGAAAAGCUGCUAUUGUGUAAUGCGUGCCCGUACCGUAAACCGACACAGGUGGAUGAGGAGAGAAUCCUAAGGCCGGCGGAAGAAGCAUUGUUAAGGAAUUCGGCAAAAUGACCCCGUAACUUCGGGAGAAGGGGUGCCUGCGAGAGCAGGCCGCAGAGAAUAGGCUCAAGCAACUGUUUAGCAAAAACACAGGUCUAUGCGAAACCGAAAGGUGAAGUAUAUGGGCUGACGCCUGCCCGGUGCUGGAAGGUUAAGAGGAGAGGUUAGCGCAAGCGAAGCUUUGAAUUUAAGCCCCAGUAAACGGCGGCCGUAACUAUAACGGUCCUAAGGUAGCGAAAUUCCUUGUCGGG
rnacentral:rRNA from 1 species